UGUGCAGUGGGUACGGGCAGACUUGAGUGCAGUAGGGGAGACUGGAAUUCCUGGUGUAGCGGUGAAAUGCGCAGAUAUCAGGAGGAACACCGAUGGCGAAGGCAGGUCUCUGGGCUGUUACUGACGCUGAGGAGCGAAAGCAUGGGGAGCGAACAGGAUUAGAUACCCUGGUAGUCCAUGCCGUAAACGUUGGGCACUAGGUGUGGGGAACAUUCCACGUUUUCCGCGCCGUAGCUAACGCAUUAAGUGCCCCGCCUGGGGAGUACGGCCGCAAGGCUAAAACUCAAAGGAAUUGACGGGGGCCCGCACAAGCGGCGGAGCAUGCGGAUUAAUUCGAUGCAACGCGAAGAACCUUACCAAGGCUUGACAUACACCGGACCGGGCCAGAGAUGGUCUUUCCCCCUUGUGGGGCUGGUGUACAGGUGGUGCAUGGUUGUCGUCAGCUCGUGUCGUGAGAUGUUGGGUUAAGUCCCGCAACGAGCGCAACCCUCGUUCUAUGUUGCCAGCACGUGAUGGUGGGGACUCAUAGGAGACUGCCGGGGUCAACUCGGAGGAAGGUGGGGAUGACGUCAAAUCAUCAUGCCCCUUAUGUCUUGGGCUUCACGCAUGCUACAAUGGCCAGUACAAUGGGUUGCGAUGCCGCGAGGUGGAGCUAAUCCCAAAAAGCUGGUCUCAGUUCGGAUCGUGGUCUGCAACUCGACCACGUGAAGUCGGAGUCGCUAGUAAUCGCAGAUCAGCAACGCUGCGGUGAAUACGUUCCCGGGCCUUGUACACACCGCCCGUCAAGUCACGAAAGUUGGUAACACCCGAAGCCGGUGGCCUAACCCUUGUGG
rnacentral:rRNA from 1 species